rnacentral:rRNA from 1 species
GACGAACGCUGGCGGCGUGCUUAACACAUGCAAGUCGAACGGAAAGGCCCUGCUUUUGUGGGGUGCUCGAGUGGCGAACGGGUGAGUAACACGUGAGUAACCUGCCCUUGACUUUGGGAUAACUUCAGGAAACUGGGGCUAAUACCGGAUAGGAGCUCCUGCUGCAUGGUGGGGGUUGGAAAGUUUCGGCGGUUGGGGAUGGACUCGCGGCUUAUCAGCUUGUUGGUGGGGUAGUGGCUUACCAAGGCUUUGACGGGUAGCCGGCCUGAGAGGGUGACCGGCCACAUUGGGACUGAGAGACGGCCCAGACUCCUACGGGAGGCAGCAGUGGGGAAUAUUGCACAAUGGGCGGAAGCCUGAUGCAGCAACGCCGCGUGCGGGAUGACGGCCUUCGGGUUGUAGACCGCUUUCGCCUGUGACGAAGCGUGAGUGACGGUAAUGGGUAGAGAAGCACCGGCUAACUACGUG